rnacentral:rRNA from 1 species
CCUACGGGAGGCAGCAGUAGGGAAUCUUCCACAAUGGGCGAAAGCCUGAUGGAGCAACGCCGCGUGUGUGAUGAAGGCUUUCGGGUCGUAAAGCACUGUUGUAAGGGAAGAACAGCUAGAAGAGUAAAUGAUUUGAGUUUGACGGUACCUUACCAGAAAGGGACGGCUAAAUACGUGCCAGCAGCCGCGGUAAUACGUAGGUCCCAAGCGUUAUCCGGAUUUAUUGGGCGUAAAGCGAGCGCAGACGGUUUCUUAAGUCUGAUGUGAAAGCCCGCGGCUCAACUGCGGAAGUGCAUUGGAAACUGGUUAACUUGAGUGCAGUAGAGGUAAGUGGAACUCCAUGUGUAGCGGUGGAAUGCGUAGAUAUAUGGAAGAACACCAGUGGCGAAGGCGGCUUACUGGACUGCAACUGACGUUGAGGCUCGAAAGCGUGGGUAGCAAACAGGAUUAGAUACCCUUGUAGUC